rnacentral:rRNA from 1 species
GAUGAACGCUGGCGGCGUGCCUAAUACAUGCAAGUCGAGCGAACAGACGAGGAGCUUGCUCCUCUGAUGUUAGCGGCGGACGGGUGAGUAACACGUGGAUAACCUACCUAUAAGACUGGGAUAACUUCGGGAAACCGGAGCUAAUACCGGAUAACAUGUUGAACCGCAUGGUUCAACAGUGAAAGACGGUCUUGCUGUCACUUAUAGAUGGAUCCGCGCCACAUUAGCUAGUUGGUAAGGUAACGGCUUACCAAGGCAACGAUGCGUAGCCGACCUGAGAGGGUGAUCGGCCACACUGGAACUGAGACACGGUCCAGACUCCUACGGGAGGCAGCAGUAGGGAAUCUUCCGCAAUGGGCGAAAGCCUGACGGAGCAACGCCGAGUGAGUGAAGAAGGUCUUCGGAUCGUAAAACUCUGUUAUUAGGGAAGAACAAAUGUGUAAGUAACUAUGCACGUCUUGACGGUACCUAAUCAGAAAGCCACGGCUAACUACGUG